AAGGUUUGGCUGUCAUGAUGUGUGGGGUAUGUGAGCCAGGCAUUGCUGGCUUCAGAACUCCGCACAUUGUUCUAAACUAGAGAAUUUGCUUCUUACUGUUCCCCUCUUGGUUUGUAUAAUAAAAAUUCCAUAACAAGAAACUGUUCUUUUUUUUUUCUUUUUUUCUAGUAGACUUGGAGAAGAAUUAAGGAGCAGCCUUCUUAGUUCCGUGGUGUUGGGAGAGCUUAGGGGAGACAAUGACUCGGUUGAAAUGAAAAAUGAUAUAAAAGACUCUAUGAAGACCACUAAUUGACACUCAUUUUCGGCCUUCAGAAUUAAUUUGGUGCAUUGCCUCCCUUGGCUGUGGAGAUGUUAGAAAUAUGUGAAGGGACUGGUGUUUUUGUGCUGCUGCUGGUUCUGAAGUGUGGAGACCUUGUUGAGGAAGGAAGGACAGAAGCCCUGCAUCAGCUGAGGAUUGAUAUUUGGCAAUAAAUCAACUGAUACAACAUAUAUCACAAAAGCCCUUGAGAGAGACCACAAAAACACAAUUCCAACUUCCUGGAGCAGCUCA